AGGCGGAUAGCUCAGUGGGAGAGCGUCCCGAUUACACCGGGAAGGUCGGGCGGUUCGAUUCCCCCUCCGCCUACCA
rnacentral:tRNA from 1 species